AUUGAACGCUGGCGGCAGGCUUAACACAUGCAAGUCGAGCGGGGAAGGUUGCUUCGGUAACUGACCUAGCGGCGGACGGGUGAGUAAUGCUUAGGAAUCUGCCUAUUAGUGGGGGACAACGUUCCGAAAGGAACGCUAAUACCGCAUACGCCCUACGGGGGAAAGCAGGGGAUCUUCGGACCUUGCGCUAAUAGCUGAGCCUAAGUCGGAUUAGCUAGUUGGUGGGGUAAAGGCCUACCAAGGCGACGAUCUGUAGCGGGUCUGAGAGGAUGAUCCGCCACACUGGGACUGAGACACGGCCCAGACUCCUACGGGAGGCAGCAGUGGGGAAUAUUGGACAAUGGGCGCAAGCCUGAUCCAGCCAUGCCGCGUGUGUGAAGAAGGCCUUUUGGUUGUAAAGCACUUUAAGCGAGGAGGAGGCUCCUUUAGUUAAUACCUAAAGUGUGUGGACGUUACUCGCAGAAUAAGCACCGGCUAACUCUGUGCCAGCCGCCGCAGUAA
rnacentral:rRNA from 1 species